UWAGAYGUCCGGGGCCGCACGCGCGCUACACUGAAGGAAUCAGCGUGUGCUUUCCCUGUCCGCUAGGACUGGGUAACCCGUUGAACCUCCUUCGUGAUAGGGAUAGGGGCUUGUAAUUGUUCCCCUUGAACGAGGAAUUCCCAGUAAGCGCGAGUCAUAAGCUCGUGUUGAUUAGGUCCCUGCCCUUUGUGCACACCGCCCGUCGCUACUUCCGAUUGAACGAGUUAGUGAGGUCUUCGGACUGGCCGUCGGAGCGGACUCUUCGUAGGCCGGGCCUACGUGCCGGAAAGACGACCGAACUUGUUCGUUUAGAGGAAGUAAAAGUCGUAACAAGGUUUCC
rnacentral:rRNA from 1 species